rnacentral:rRNA from 1 species
UACACUCCUGCGGGAGGCAGCAGUGGGGAAUUUUGGACAAUGGGCGAAAGCCUGAUCCAGCAAUGCCGCGUGUGUGAAGAAGGCCUUCGGGUUGUAAAGCACUUUUGUCCGGAAAGAAAUCCUUGGCUCUAAUACAGUCGGGGGAUGACGGUACCGGAAGAAUAAGCACCGGCUAACUACGUGCCAGCAGCCGCGGUAAUACGUAGGGUGCGAGCGUUAAUCGGAAUUACUGGGCGUAAAGCGUGCGCAGGCGGUUUGCUAAGACCGAUGUGAAAUCCCCGGGCUCAACCUGGGAACUGCAUUGGUGACUGGCAGGCUAGAGUAUGGCAGAGGGGGGUAGAAUUCCACGUGUAGCAGUGAAAUGCGUAGAGAUGUGGAGGAAUACCGAUGGCGAAGGCAGCCCCCUGGGCCAAUACUGACGCUCAUGCACGAAAGCGUGGGGAGCAAACAGGAUUAGAAACCCCUGUAGUCCC